rnacentral:rRNA from 1 species
UACGUAGGGGGCGAGCGUUGUCCGGAAUUAUUGGGCGUAAAGAGCUCGUAGGCGGCUUGGCAAGUCGGAUGUGAAAACUCCAGGCUCAACCUGGAGCCGCCAUUCGAUACUGCUAUGGCUAGAGUCCGGUAGGGGAGUGUGGAAUUCCCGGUGUAGCGGUGAAAUGCGCAGAUAUCAGGAGGAACACCGGUGGCGAAGGCGGGUCUCUGGGCAUUACCUGACGCUGAGGAGCGAAAGCAUGGGGAGCGAACAGG